rnacentral:tRNA from 1 species
UUAAUUGAAGCCAAAGAGAGGCUUAUCACUGUUAAUGAUAAAAUUGAGAUCUAACUCCAAUUAAA